GGGCGGUUAGCUCAGAUUGGUUAGAGCGCAGCGUUGACAUCGCUGAGGCCAUAGGUUCAACUCCUAUACCGCCCA
rnacentral:tRNA from 1 species